GACGAACGCUGGCGGCGUGCCUAAUACAUGCAAGUCGAACGCAGUGGGGACGGGUGAGUAACACGUGGGUAACCUCCCAUCAGAGGGGAUAACACUUGGAAACAGGUGCUAAAACGAUACUGAUGGAUGAACCCGCGGGGCAUUAGCUAGUUGGUGAGGUAACGGCUCACCAAGGCCACGAUGCAUAGCCGGCCUGGGAGGGUGGUCGGCCACACUGGGACUGAGACACGGCCCAGACUCCUACGGGAGGCAGCAGGAGGGAAUAUUCGGCAAUGGACGAAAGUCUGACCGAGCAACGCCGCGUGAGUGAAGAAGGUUUGCGGAUCGUAAAGCUCUGUUGUUAGAGAAGCGGUAUCUAACCGGAAAGCCACGGCUAACUGCGUGCCAGCAGCCGCGGUAAUUC
rnacentral:rRNA from 1 species